rnacentral:lncRNA from 1 species
CUCCCUUUCGCCAUCUGCUCCCAAAAGAACCCACCGAUAGAAUGUGAAGUCCCGUCACGUGGAUGAUCUUUUCUCCGUGUGCUCACGAGGUGGUAGAGAGGAAGAGCACCCGCGCUUCUCUUUCCAGCGGAGAAGCCGGAACCCAGAGCACUCGAGGCGCCUGACCGUGUGUACACAGCGAGGCUGUGCCGACGCUGGAUCAGCGCCUUCCUCCAAUCUUUUCCGAGCCCGGCGCUCUCGACCUCGGGGAUGCUGAGAGGAAUAAUGAGUGGCAACAAAAAGUGCUAAAGGCAGCCACAAUCGGGUAUCUGCCAAGCUUUGUAGAAUUAGCAUGAGGCUGAAAGGUAAAAUCGUCACAGCAAAAUAAUCCAUACAUAAAGCAGUCCGUUUUGAUUAAAGAAAAGACAUAAAUCAUAAAAAAUGUUAUUUGUAUCCCACUGUCAUGUUAAGGCCUCCUUUUGUGUUUAUUUAGGACAAUCUUAAUAAUGUUAAUAAGAGUCUUUCAGCUGUCCCUUUGCCAUCAGUGGAUCAGAGGAGAGCCAGGCAAUUUCCACAUCCGAGGGAAACAGAAUAAUCCUCUUUUGAAAUCACACAAGCUAUUUUACCAUGAACAAGCAGUGACUCAACCCUAACAAGAGCCUUUUGUCUGGAACAUUUGGGAACGAACUUGGAACGAAGAAAGGGUGAAACAGGCUCCCACAUGAAGGCACAAAAACGGACCACUCUCUGCCCCAGUGUUUACUUUGGGUCCAUCUACACAACCAUCAAGAGUCAACUUCAGUUAGCAGAGACAACUAUUCGAAGGAUAAUGGAGAAAUAUUAGAGUUUCCAGCACUUUUUUUAAUCACCAUUUGAUCACACUUAAAUGAAUUAAAAGCAGAUGUUGAAAUUGCUGCCAACUGUUCACUUGUCAUCUGUGAAUGGGAAUUAACUUGGUUUUGCUCCUCAUUAAAUACAACGUUAGGCUUCAGUAGUUUAAAGUCUUGGAACGCAGGUCCUGAUGGGACUUUAAAGUUACAAACAACUGAAGGAAUUUUGAUAACGGUGAAAACAUUUGUCCUUGUAAGAUAACAAGGAAAACUCCUGGGAAAGUAUGGAAUCCUGAAACUCUCACGUGACAUCUGAAGAGACAAAAAUCACUAUUUUGUUAUUCGACGAGAACUUCUGGGCCCCAUGUGUGCUUUCAGCCCUGCCUUUGGUGUAGCGGAGGCUAUGAAAGGACUUACAAACGGCCGUCCCUCUUGGCGUUAAGGCACAGGAGACACUGUACGCCUCGGCGCCGGAUGAGGGGCCCGAGGACAGAGGGCUCAGCAGAGCUGAGAUGACACGGGCGGGCACAUCAGGGCAAGCUGGACCGGAUGAUGAAGAACCUGUGGGAUUUGACAUUCUCUCAAGCGGCAGCCGUCCUCCGAGACGGCCCUCAGCGAGUCUUGCCUUUGGGUAUUCAAGCCUUUUUGUAGUUCCCAUCCAUGUUGAAUAGAGUUGACCUGUGUAACCAACGGACGUUGCAGAAAUGAUGGAGAGUGACUUUUGAGGACAUUCAAGCGGCUGGUGGAAAGGCUCAUUGGGAGAGGACGGGGGCCCCCUGCCAGCAGCCAACACCAACUCGUGAGGCACGUGAGCGAGUCCCUGUGGAAGAGGACCGCCAGGCCGGUGAAGCCUUCAGAUGACUGUGUGACUGCGACCCUGGCCAAUACCCCGACCGUCGCCUCAAGAGGCCGUGAGCCAAGCACCCAGCUCAGCCGCUUCCAAGUCCUGGCCCACAAAAGCUCUGUCAUCUAAACCCUCAUUCCAUGUUAAAAGACAUCUUCCCGAUGAGGGAUUGAACAUCACGUGGAGAUCCUGGGCUGGGAAGAAGGUAAGAACGUGCGGC